UACGAAGGGGGCUAGCGUUGCUCGGAAUUACUGGGCGUAAAGCGCACGUAGGCGGAUUGUUAAGUCGGGGGUGAAAUCCUGGAGCUCAACUCCAGAACUGCCUUCGAUACUGGCGAUCUCGAGUUCGGGAGAGGUGAGUGGAACUGCGAGUGUAGAGGUGAAAUUCGUAGAUAUUCGCAAGAACACCAGUGGCGAAGGCGGCUUACUGGUCCGGUUCUGACGCUGAGGCGCGAAAGCGUGGGGAGCGAACGGG
rnacentral:rRNA from 1 species